AGGCUUAACACAUGCAAGUCGAACGAUGAAGUCUAGCUUGCUAGACGGAUUAGUGGCGAACGGGUGAGUAAUGCUUAGGAAUCUGCCUAUUAGUGGGGGAUAACGUAGGGAAACUUACGCUAAUACCGCAUACGUCUUACGAGAGAAAGGGGGCUUUUAGCUCUCGCUAAUAGAUGAGCCUAAGUCGGAUUAGCUAGUUGGUGGGGUAAAGGCCUACCAAGGCGACGAUCUGUAGCUGGUCUGAGAGGAUGAUCAGCCACACUGGGACUGAGACACGGCCCAGACUCCUACGGGAGGCAGCAGUGGGGAAUAUUGGACAAUGGGCGAAAGCCUGAUCCAGCCAUCCCGCGUGUGUGAAGAAGGCCUUUUGGUUGUAAAGCACUUUAAGUGGGGAGGAAAAGCUUGUGGUUAAUACCUACAAGCCCUGACGUUACCCACAGAAUAAGCACCGGCUAACUCUGUGCCAGCAGCCGCGGUAAUACAGAGGGUGCAAGCGUUAAUCGGAAUUACUGGGCGUAAAGCGAGCGUAGGUGGUCAUUUAAGUCAGAUGUGAAAGCCCCGGGCUUAACCUGGGAACUGCAUCUGAUACUGGGUGACUAGAGUAGGUGAGAGGGAAGUAGAAUUCCAGGUGUAGCGGUGAAAUGCGUAGAGAUCUGGAGGAAUACCGAUGGCGAAGGCAGCUUCCUGGCAUCAUACUGACACUGAGGUUCGAAAGCGUGGGUAGCAAAC
rnacentral:rRNA from 1 species